AAAGGUUUUUGGUUAAAUAUUCUGAAAAUCUGCAUCUGUUGUACAUAGAUGUUGCGUGAGAAUAUCCAAACAUAGUACAUAUAUAUGCAAUUAACUAUUAUAGCACAUAAUAGAAUGAAUACAAAGAAUUGGAAAACAUCAAAGGGUGCUUCUACCUAAACCAAAAGGCGGUUCAAUCUUUCUUCUGUAAAGGGUAACCUUAUUACAACAAAUUUAAGAGGGAAAGAAAUAUAGUCAAUCACUGCCUACAUGACACAUCACAAAAGCCAUAUGCUUAAUUGCACCAGGAGCUCGAUCGCACAAAGUUUCACAGCUCAAACUUCUACACUCAUCGGUCCAUCCAUCAUCCAUGCCGGAUCCACCACAUGCUUGGCUUCAAGUGAUGGUUUGCCACCUUCAUCUCACACGACAUGUCACACUGCAUCCAUGAAUCAAUCCAGUUAAUGUUCCAUGACAAGAAAAAAAUCAUAUUUAAAUCCAUCGAUGCAUGCAUGGGUCGAUGAGAGAUGGCCGAUCAAUUGUUCAAUCAGAUGGAUCACAAGUGAGAAGCAGUUGACUGAGAUGGCGCACGACACAUAGCUCGACCUUUGGAUGUCUAAUGGUCGCAAAACAUAAAGGUGGGAUGAUUCCGUAACUGUACUGAAGGUUUGUGCUAUUAAGACCACUGAAAUAUAUACCUGAUUACGAGUAUUUCUUCACGCCUUUGCUGGCAUUCCUCCGUGAUGCCCAACAAAUAUCGCAUUAGACUAAAAACAACAAAGUCUGUUUGUUGUUGCUUGCCUGAAAUAAGCAAACUCAUGUACAUAUAAUACUGAAUUUGACACUGCUUUGUAGUGCUUCCAACUACUGAUAGAUAUAUAGAGUUCACUGAGUAGUACAUGGUUAUGAGUAAGAUGAUAGUUUAAGAAUCGAGGAUCAAGUGUUCUUUUCUCAUUGAUCACUAAUAGUUGUAAGUUUCAGAAUGUGCAUUGUGCACAAAUACUGACAGUACAGAGUUCAUCGAGAAGUCAAAGGUUAUCUGUAAGAUAAUAUCUUUGCAAUCAAGGGCGAAAUACUCUGAAUAGGCGUUCAUACAAUAUCUGCCAAGAAUUCAGGACCUACCUUAUAACCUACAAAAAGGUGGCAAACCUUUCAAAAUGAUUGUAGGAAAUAUGUAUCAUGCAACUUUGUUUCAAGCACAAUACCAAUUAAAAACCUCACGUUGCUGCCACAAAAAUACAUAGAACAGUCUUUACAAUUAUGCCAAGAAAAUUCAGUAUGGAUGUAUGUUAACCUGGAGCUGUCGCAAGGUUCCGUCUUGACCUCAUGAACAAAUUCGAUCUCAAAUUGACUUGAGUCGCAUGAUUUAUGGAUGAAAAAAAAUUCAGAAACAGUGGCAAUAGACAAAUCAUGGCAUAGAAAUAUAUCAAAACAGAGAUCUUUUAUCGUCCAUGCGCUGCUGUGAAGAAACCAAUCAAAUACGAACCUGUUAUUCGAUAUGGGAUACAAAGAACACAAUAUGGAGCGUAGCUUGCUUUCUGUUUGAAUUUUUGUCUGCUAUCCUCAAGUUCAGAUGCUAUGAUCUAGAUGCAUCUAUGGAAGUAGCUUAUAAUGAUGUAUUUCUGGAUAUGCUAAGUUUUACCUGUCAAUGUUCAGUACCAGCAGCAAUUUAUACCAUUCCAUUGGGAUGGACACUCGAGUGCCUAUCUAGAGAGCAGUUGCAUUGGCCUUCUCCUUCAACGGAUUGAUUCUUUCCAAAUCAGACACAGGUCUCGCGUGCAAGCACAGCGCCGCUCACGGCCCGCAGCCCCUGAAGCAAGCAGUUCACGCCCGCAUCGUCAAGCUGCAGCCGCCGUCGCUGGCUCUAGGACAGCACCUCCUCCUCGUCGCCCGUCAAACCACCGCCCCGGCCCCGGCGACAUCGGCAACGUGCCGACGCCGUACUGCCGCGCCCGAGCCCUGGCGAGGCAGCCUCCAUCCUCCCAAGCGAGCACGCCAGUCGCCGCCAAGCCCUCGCAACCGCCGUCGCCCUCGCCAAGCCCCCGCCCGGCGUCCUCCUGCGCCUCCUCGACCCCGCCUCCUCGCGCCCGCGCACCGCCGCCUCGGCCUCGCCUCGCCGGCGACAAGCCCCCGCCGGAGCUCCCCGAGCUCGCUCGCCUCCUCGCCGGAAGCCGCCGCCGCCGGGAAUGGAUUCGCCAACGCCAGCCGCGACGCCUCGCCCCAUUCCUGGGCUCGGGCAACGCGUACGCCCGCCUCCUUGGCUCCUGCGGCGUGGACUCUGGCGGCAAACGGCUGCGCGUGGCGGCGCGUGCCUGGUGGUGGUG
rnacentral:lncRNA from 1 species